UACAGAGGGUGCGAGCGUUAAUCGGAAUUAUUGGGCGUAAAGCGCAUGUAGGUGGUUUUAUAAGUUUGAUGUGAAAUCCCUGGGCUUAACCUGGGAACUGCGUUGAAUACUGUAAAACUAGAGUCGGACAGAGGGUCGUGGAAUUUCCGGUGUAGCGGUGAAAUGCGUAGAGAUCGGAAAGAACACCAGUGGCGAAGGCGGCGACCUGGGUCCAGACUGACACUGAGGUGCGAAAGCAUGGGGAGCAAACAGG
rnacentral:rRNA from 1 species